rnacentral:rRNA from 1 species
UACGUAGGGGGCAAGCGUUAUCCGGAUUUACUGGGUGUAAAGGGAGCGUAGACGGCAGUGCAAGUCCGGAGUGAAAGCCCGGGGCUCAACCCCGGGACUGCAUUUGGAACUGUAUGGCUGGAGUGUCGGAGAGGCAAGUGGAAUUCCUAGUGUAGCGGUGAAAUGCGUAGAUAUUAGGAGGAACACCAGUGGCGAAGGCGGCUUGCUGGACGAUGACUGACGUUGAGGCUCGAAAGCGUGGGGAGCAAACAGG